CGUCAACCAAAAUCUUCCUCCCAAAACAUUCCAACUCCUAAUUUCUUUCUCUCUCUCCUCUCCCAAACUUAAUUAUUCUCGUCAUAAUUCUCUCUCUAAAAUAUUUAAUCUUAUCUGGUUUAAUUUCCCAUGCUUUAUCUUCAUUAGACUGCCAAUUCAAUCUCUCUCACGCAUUUAUCACCCUCUCUCUCUCUCUGAACUUUGUUGAGAAUCGACUCUCUUCACUGAUACUUCUCUCUCUCUCUCUCUCUCUCUAGUUACUUUCUACCUACUCUUAUUCUUCCUUCCUUCUUUUCUUUACUUCUUUUAGUUUACUCCUCUCUCUCUCUCUCUCUCUCUCUCUCUUAUAUAUUUUUUCCAUCAUUUAUUAUUCUUCUUAUUCUUUCACUUGUUUUUGAGGCUCUCUCUCUCAUUUGGAGUAUAUUGCUUCUCCCUCACCCCUUUCUCUCUCUCUUCUGUGUUUUUGGUAUAGAAAUGGGGAGAAUGGUUCGAAGCUGUCUUCAAUCGCUAUUGAAACUGGUGAAUUCGAUCAUAGGGAUGGUAGGAAUCGCCAUGAUUCUGUACUCCCUGUGGAUGCUGAGGAUUUGGCAUCAGAACCUCGUCCAUAGUUCAUCAUAUGGUAUCCCUGAAACACAUGCUCCCUGGUAGGUUUCGUGGACAUGACUCUCUCUCUCUCUCUCUGCGCCUGGUGUUUAGAAAAGGGGCUUGUAAAUCAUCCAUCGGGUCUCUUUCUCUUCCCCCGCCCACCCCCAUCUCUCUAUAUACGUGCUUGAUGUUCAGAAAAGGGACUUUUAAUCACCUCUCUGUCUCUCUCUUGAU
rnacentral:lncRNA from 1 species